CACAGCUGGAGCUCUUUAUUGCUGGCCACCACGCCAUCAGCAUCAGCAGGCAUUCAAGGAAACGGAGGACGAUGGUCGUGUCCACUUCUCCGAUGUCUUCUGACCGCCCGAGCCCUGCCUCUCCUCACAUCGGAUGGGCUGUUCCUUCCCAGACGUUUCUGGACUAAGACCCAAACGUUCACUUUCUUUGCAAGU